CUUUUUGAUUUUAAUUUAAAGUUUAACCUGCCCAUUGAAAAUUUUUAAAAGGCUGCGGUAUUUUGACUGUACAAAGGUAGCAUAAUCAUUAGUUUUUUAAUUGAAAACUUGUAUGAAUGGUUGGAUGAGAAAUUAACUUUUUUAAAAAAAUAAUUGAAUUUUACUUUUUAAUUAAAAGGUUAAAAUAAAUUUAAAAGACGAGAAGACCCUAUAGAGUUUUAUAAUUUAUAUUUAAUAUUUAAAAAGAUUAAUUAAAAUUUUAUAAAAGAAAAUAUUUUGUUGGGGUGAUAAUAAAAUUUAAAUAACUUUUAUUUUUUUUUACAUUAAUAUAUGAAUUUAUGAUCCAUUAUUGAUGAUUAAAAAUUUAAAUUACCUUAGGGAUAACAGCGUAAUUUUUUUUUAAAGUUCAUAUUAAUAAAAAAUUUUGCGACCUCGAUGUUGGAUUAAGAUUUAAUUUUAGGUGCAGCAGUUUAAAUUUUAAGUCUGUUCCACUUUUAAAUUCUU
rnacentral:rRNA from 1 species